rnacentral:rRNA from 1 species
CAAUAGCGUAUAUUUAAGUUGUUGCAGUUAAAAAGCUCGUAGUUGGAUUUCGGGUGGGACGCAGCGGUCUCGCAUUGCGUUGGUACUGCUGCAGCCCUCCUUCUUGCCGGGGGCGGCCUCUCGGACUUCACUGUCUGGGGGUCAGAAUCGGCGAUGUUACUUUGAGUAAAUUAGAGUGUUCAAAGCAAGCUUACGCUCUGAAUAUAAUAGCAUGGGAUAACACGACAGGACUCUGGCCUAUCGUGUUGGUCUAUAGGACCAGAGUAAUGAUUAAGAGGGACAGUCGGGGGCAUUCGUAUUCCGUUGUCAGAGGUGAAAUUCUUGGAUUUACGGAAGACGAACAUCUGCGAAAGCAUUUGCCAAGGAUGUUUUCAUUGA